rnacentral:rRNA from 1 species
GCAGCAGUGGGGAAUUUUCCGCAAUGGGCGAAAGCCUGACGGAGCAACGCCGCGUGAGGGACGAAGGCCUCUGGGCUGUAAACCUCUUUUCUCAAGGAAGAAGAUAUGACGGUACUUGAGGAAUAAGCCACGGCUAAUUCCGUGCCAGCAGCCGCGGUAAUACGGGAGUGGCAAGCGUUAUCCGGAAUUAUUGGGCGUAAAGCGUCCGCAGGCGGCCUUUCAAGUCUGCUGUUAAAGCGUGGAGCUUAACUCCAUCAUGGCAGUGGAAACUGAAAGGCUUGAGUAUGGUAGGGGCAGAGGGAAUUCCCGGUGUAGCGGUGAAAUGCGUAGAUAUCGGGAAGAACACCAGUGGCGAAGGCGCUCUGCUGGGCCAUUACUGACGCUCAUGGACGAAAGCCAGGGGAGCGAAAGGGAUUAGAUACCCCUGUAGUCCUGGCCGUAAACGAUGAACACUAGGUGUCGGGGGAAUCGACCCCUUCGGUGUCGUAGCUAACGCGUUAAGUGUUCCGCCUGGGGAGUACGCACGCAAGUGUGAAACUCAAAGGAAUUGACGGGGGCCCGCACAAGCGGUGGAGUAUGUGGUUUAAUUCGAUGCAACGCGAAGAACCUUACCAGGGUUUGACAUCCUGAGAACCUCUUAGAAAUUUGAGGGUGCCUUCGGGAAUUCAGUGACAGGUGGUGCAUGGCUGUCGUCAGCUCGUGUCGUGAGAUGUUGGGUUAAGUCCCGCAACGAGCGCAACCCACGUUUUUAGUUGCCAGCAUUUAGUUGGGCACUCUAGAAAGACCGCCGGUGAUAAACCGGAGGAAGGUGUGGAUGACGUCAAGUCAUCAUGCCCCUUACACCCUGGGCUACACACGUACUACAAUGCUACGGACAAAGGGCAGCAAACUCGCGAGAGCUAGCAAAUCCCAUAAACCGUGGCUCAGUUCAGAUCGUAGGCUGCAACUCGCCUACGUGAAGUAGGAAUCGCUAGUAAUCGCAGGUCAGCAUACUGCGGUGAAUACGUUCCCGGGCCUUGUACACACCGCCCGUCACACCAUGGAAGUUGGCCAUGCCCGAAGUCGUUACUCCAACCCUUGUGGAGGAGGACGCCGAAGGUGGGGCUAAUGACUGGGGUGAAGUCGUAACAAGGUAGCCGUACCGGAAGGUGCGGCUG